rnacentral:rRNA from 1 species
GGGGGGGGGGGGGGGGGGGGGGGGGAGGGGCGGGGCGGGCGGGGGGGCCGUGCUGGUGGGGGGUGCUGGGGUGGCGAACGGGUGGGUAACACGUGGGUAACCUGCCCUUGACUUUGGGAUAACUUCAGGAAACUGGGGCUAAUACCGGAUAGGAGCUCCUGCUGCAUGGUGGGGGUUGGAAAGUUUCGGCGGUUGGGGAUGGACUCGCGGCUGAUCAGCUUGUUGGUGGGGUAGUGGCUUACCAAGGCUUUGACGGGUAGCCGGCCUGAGAGGGUGACCGGCCACAUUGGGACUGAGAUACGGCCCAGACUCCUACGGGAGGCAGCAGUGGGGAAUAUUGCACAAUGGGCGGAAGCCUGAUGCAGCAACGCCGCGUGCGGGAUGACGGCCUUCGGGUUGUAAACCGCUUUCGCCUGUGACGAAGCGUGAGUGACGGUAAUGGGUAAAGAAGCACCGGCUAACUACGUG